ACCUCCAAGAUUCUUGGCUGCUAGAGGCACACCACCACAUUUUUUCACAAUCUCCUUUCCGAUAGCCACAAGGUUGGGAUUUAUUUCUUCUUGGUGUCCAAAUGCACGUUGCAUGAACAACAACCAACAAUCUGCUUGAGACAAAUUUGACAACUGGAAUGGUUGCAAAGUUCCCAUAAUUGAUCCAAC